AAAGUCGUAACAAGGUUUCUGUAGGUAAACCUGCAGAAGGAUCAUUAUCGUAGGGCUUCAGCCCUGUUGAGAUAGAACCCUUGCCUUUAUUAGUACUGUCUGUUUCCUUAGCAGGUCCGCCUGCUAAUAGACAAAAAAAAAAAAAACUUGUUUAACCUGUAUAGUCUGAAAAAAUAUAUAAAAAUUAAAACUUUUAACAACAGAUCUCUUGGUUCUG
rnacentral:misc_RNA from 1 species